CCCUUAGAUGUUCUGGGCUGCACGCGCGCUACACUGAAGCUAUCAACACGUUUUCCCUCCCUGAGAAGGGCGGGUAACCUUUUGAAUCAGCUUCGUGGUAGGGAUCGGGGCUUGCAAUUGUUCCCCGUGAACCAGGAAUUCCUAGUAGACGCGAGUCAUAAGCUCGCAUCGAUUAAGUCCCUGCCCUUUGUAUACACCGCCCAUCGCUACUACCGAUUGAACGUUUUAGUGAGGCAUUUGGACCGACGCAUCUCAGUUUAACCGCUGGUUUGUGUUGGAAAGACUUCCAAACUUGAGCGUUUAGAGGAAGUAAAAGUCGUAACA
rnacentral:rRNA from 1 species